GACGAACGCUGGCGGCGUGCCUAAUACAUGCAAGUCGAACGAACUCUGGUAUUGAUUGGUGCUUGCAUCAUGAUUUACAUUUGAGUGAGUGGCGAACUGGUGAGUAACACGUGGGAAACCUGCCCAGAAGCGGGGGAUAACACCUGGAAACAGAUGCUAAUACCGCAUAACAACUUGGACCGCAUGGUCCGAGUUUGAAAGAUGGCUUCGGCUAUCACUUUUGGAUGGUCCCGCGGCGUAUUAGCUAGAUGGUGGGGUAACGGCUCACCAUGGCAAUGAUACGUAGCCGACCUGAGAGGGUAAUCGGCCACAUUGGGACUGAGACACGGCCCAAACUCCUACGGGAGGCAGCAGUAGGGAAUCUUCCACAAUGGACGAAAGUCUGAUGGAGCAACGCCGCGUGAGUGAAGAAGGGUUUCGGCUCGUAAAACUCUGUUGUUAAAGAAGAACAUAUCUGAGAGUAACUGUUCAGGUAUUGACGGUAUUUAACCAGAAAGCCACGGCUAACUACGUGCCAGCAGCCGCGGUAAUACGUAGGUGGCAAGCGUUGUCCGGAUUUAUUGGGCGUAAAGCGAGCGCAGGCGGUUUUUUAAGUCUGAUGUGAAAGCCUUCGGCUCAACCGAAGAAGUGCAUCGGAAACUGGGAAACUUGAGUGCAGAAGAGGACAGUGGAACUCCAUGUGUAGCGGUGAAAUGCGUAGAUAUAUGGAAGAACACCAGUGGCGAAGGCGGCUGUCUGGUCUGUAACUGACGCUGAGGCUCGAAAGUAUGGGUAGCAAACAGGAUUAGAUACCCUGGUAGUCCAUACCGUAAACGAUGAAUGCUAAGUGUUGGAGGGUUUCCGCCCUUCAGUGCUGCAGCUAACGCAUUAAGCAUUCCGCCUGGGGAGUACGGCCGCAAGGCUGAAACUCAAAGGAAUUGACGGGGGCCCGCACAAGCGGUGGAGCAUGUGGUUUAAUUCGUAGCUACGCGAAGAACCUUACCAGGUCUUGACAUACUAUGCAAAUCUAAGAGAUUAGACGUUCCCUUCGGGGACAUGGAUACAGGUGGUGCAUGGUUGUCGUCAGCUCGUGUCGUGAGAUGUUGGGUUAAGUCCCGCAACGAGCGCAACCCUUAUUAUCAGUUGCCAGCAUUAAGUUGGGCACUCUGGUGAGACUGCCGGUGACAAACCGGAGGAAGGUGGGGAUGACGUCAAAUCAUCAUGCCCCUUAUGACCUGGGCUACACACGUGCUACAAUGGAUGGUACAACGAGUUGCGAACUCGCGAGAGUAAGCUAAUCUCUUAAAGCCAUUCUCAGUUCGGAUUGUAGGCUGCAACUCGCCUACAUGAAGUCGGAAUCGCUAGUAAUCGCGGAUCAGCAUGCCGCGGUGAAUACGUUCCCGGGCCUUGUACACACCGCCCGUCACACCAUGAGAGUUUGUAACACCCAAAGUCGGUGGGGUAACCUUUUAGGAACCAGCCGCCUAAGGUGGGACAGAUGAUUAGGGUG
rnacentral:rRNA from 1 species